CUUCACGCCGCGUGAAGGAUGAAGGCUUUCGGGUUGUAAACUUCUUUUAGCAGGAAAGAACACAAUGACGGUACCUGCAGAAAAAGCACCGGCUAACUCUGUGCCAGCAGCCGCGGAAAUACAGAGGGUGCAAGCGUUAUUCGGAUUUACUGGGCAUAAAGAGCGCGUAGGCGGUUUAAUAAGUCUGAUGUGAAAUCCCUGGACCCAAUCCAGGAAGUGCAUCGGAUACUGUUAGACUAGAGUACAGGAGGGGACAGCGGAAUUCCUGGUGUAGAGGUGAAAUUCGUAGAUAUCAGGAGGAACAACAGCGGCGAAGGCGGCUGUCUGGACUGUCACUGACGCUGAGGCGCGAAAGCGUGGGGAGCAAACAGGAUUAGAUACCCUGGUAGUCCACGCCGUAAACGAUGGAUGCUAGAUGUCGGAAGGUUCUACCCUUUCGGUGUCGUCGCAAAUGCAUUAAGCAUCCCGCCUGGGGAGUACGGUCGCAAGAUUAAAACUCAAAGAAAUUGACGGGGGCCCGCACAAGCGGUGGAGUAUGUGGUUUAAUUCGAUGCAACGCGAAAAACUUACCUGNGCUUGACAUCUGGUGCUAUCCGGUGAAAGUCGGAGUUCCCUUCGGGGACGCCAAGACAGGUGCUGCAUGGCUGUCGUCAGCUCGUGUCGUGAGA
rnacentral:rRNA from 1 species